rnacentral:misc_RNA from 1 species
AAGUCGUAACAAGGUUUCCGUAGGUAAGUAAAAUUCUUUCCCGAAAUUAAAAAUUUCAUUCCACCAUAAAACUCCAGUACUAACAAAUUUAAUAGGUGAACCUGCGGAAGGAUCAUUAAAAGAGAAUCAUCUUGAAGUAAUUCAAGUAUGAAUCCCAACCCUUGCUUAUAUAAAAACCCCAAAAAUGUUGCUUCGGCGAGUUAAGAUUGAGAUCUUGACUAACCAUCUUGUCUCGACCUUUUCGCCAGAAGAAAAACCUUUAAAAACUAUUAUAUACCAAACGUCUGAAUUUAUUUUAAUUAAUUGGAAAUAUACAAAUCCAAUAAAAUUAUCUUAUUUACAACUUUCAACAACGGAUCUCUUGGUUCUG